AUACGUAGGUGACAAGCGUUAUCCGGAUUUACUGGGCGUAAAGGGCGUGUAGGCGGUCUUGCAAGUCAGAAGUGAAAUUCCUGAGCUCAACUCGGGCGCUGCUUCUGAAACUGCAGGACCUGAGUGCUGGAGGGGAUAGCGGAAUUCCUAGUGGAGCGGUAAAAUGCGCAGAUAUUAGGAAGAACACCGGUGGCGAAGGCGGCAAACUGGACAGUAACGGAGGCUGAGGCGCGAAAGCGUGGGGAGCAAACAGGAUGAGAUGCCCUGGUGGUCCACGCCGUAAACGAUGAAUACUAGGUGUAGGGGGGAUCGACUCCCUCUGUGCCGCAGUUAACACAAUAAGUAUUCCGCCUGGGGAGUACGGCCGCAAGGUUGAAACUCAAAGGAAUUGACGGG
rnacentral:rRNA from 1 species